rnacentral:rRNA from 1 species
UACGUAGGGGGCUAGCGUUGUCCGGAAUCAUUGGGCGUAAAGCGCGUGUAGGCGGCUCGGUAAGUCUGCUGUGAAAGUCCAGGGCUCAACCCUGGAAUGCCGGUGGAUACUGUCGAGCUCGAGUCCGGAAGAGGCGAGUGGAAUUCCUGGUGUAGCGGUGAAAUGCGCAGAUAUCAGGAGGAACACCAAUGGCGAAGGCAGCUCGCUGGGACGGUACUGACGCUGAGACGCGAAAGCGUGGGGAGCAAACAGG